rnacentral:rRNA from 1 species
UACGAAGGGGGCUAGCGUUGUUCGGAAUUACUGGGCGUAAAGCGCGUGUAGGCGGGUCUUUAAGUCAGGGGUGAAAUGCCAAGGCUCAACCUUGGAACUGCCUUUGAUACUGGAGAUCUUGAGUCCGGGAGAGGUGAGUGGAAUUGCGAGUGUAGAGGUGAAAUUCGUAGAUAUUCGCAAGAACACCAGUGGCGAAGGCGGCUCACUGGCCCGGAACUGACGCUGAGACGCGAAAGCGUGGGGAGCAGACAGG